rnacentral:rRNA from 1 species
AUUGAACGCUGGCGGCAGGCUUAACACAUGCAAGUCGGGCGGGGAAAUAUAGCUUGCUAUAUGACCUAGCGGCGGACGGGUGAGUAAUGCUUAGGAAUCUGCCUAUUAGUGGGGGACAACAUUUCGAAAGGGAUGCUAAUACCGCAUACGCCCUACGGGGGAAAGCAGGGGAUCAUUUGACCUUGCGCUAAUAGAUGAGCCUAAGUCGGAUUGGCUAGUUGGUGGGGUAAAGGCCUACCAAGGCGACGUUCUGUAGCGGGUCUGAGAGAGUGCUCCGCCACACUGGGACUGAGACACGGCCCAGACUCCUACGGGGGGCAGCAGUGGGGAAUAUUGGACAAUGGGGUGAACCCUGAUCCAGCCAUGCCGCGUGUGUGAAGAAGGCCUUUUGGUUGUAAAGCACUUUAAGCGAGGAGGAGGCUCCUGUAGAUAAUACCUACAGUGAGUGGACGUUACUCGCAGAAUAAGCACCGGCUAACUCUGUGCCAGCCGCCGCAGUAA